CGGAAUCUCUUAAAUCACAAAAACGACGAGAAACGGCAUAGGAUCGUUCAUCGUUGGAUUUCUUUAUUAAGGUGCUGUCAAAAAGCAAACAAUGGAAAGAGAACAGAGAUGAAAAGCAAGCUUGAUAAUUUUGUGAGGAGGAGGAGGAGGAGGAGGAGGUUCAGAAAAAGCAAUGGAGUAACUUUGCGAAUCACGUAACUCCGUAGCUGAUAAUUCCAUUGCUGCGCAUGAGUUGAUCUUCCUUCUUCUUCUUUUAUUGAUACACGCAGUCAUCUCAGCUAUGAUCAGGCCAUUAAUCGGUUAGUGAAGAUGUAAUAAAAUAUAAUGGAGAUUUUCCACGGCUCUAUAUUGAGAAAUCGGAGCAUCGAUCGAUUACUUUAAAAUGGAUUAGCUACAAACAAUUAUGAUACAUAUUUAAUUUUGAAUUUGUCUAUCAUUAUUUAUCAACUUGAUCAGUGUUUUGGUAUACUAUUGUACUUGAGACUAUUAUGUUUAUACCCGGAAAAAAUAUAAAAUUAUAUAUAAUUAUAUUAAAAAGUGACAUAUUUUCUGUACAAUUACAUAUGAUUAUUAUAAAAUAUGUAAUAUAUAUAUUUUUUCCCGGAUUUUCAAACAAAUAUACAUAAAAAAGAAAAUGAAAUAAAAUUUAAUGAGGAGUUAGUGUUAUAAAUUAUAUAAAAUUAAUAAAAUUAUAUAAUAUUAA